rnacentral:rRNA from 1 species
UUAAGCGACUAAGCGUACACGGUGGAUGCCCUGGCAGUCAGAGGCGAUGAAGGACGUGCUAAUCUGCGAAAAGCGUCGGUAAGGUGAUAUGAACCGUUACAGCCGGCGAUGUCCGAAUGGGGAAACCCAGUGCAAUUCGUUGCACUAUCGUUAACUGAAUACAUAGGUUAACGAGGCGAACCGGGGGAACUGAAACAUCUAAGUACCCCGAGGAAAAGAAAUCAACCGAGAUUCCCCCAGUAGCGGCGAGCGAACGGGGAGCAGCCCAGAGUCUGAAUCAGCUUGUGUGUUAGUGGAACGGUCUGGAAAGUCCGACGGUACAGGGUGAUAGUCCCGUACACCAAAAUGCACAGGUUGUGAACUCGAAGAGUAGGGCGGGACACGUGGUAUCCUGUCUGAAUAUGGGGGGACCAUCCUCCAAGGCUAAAUACUCCUGACUGACCGAUAGUGAACCAGUACCGUGAGGGAAAGGCGAAAAGAACCCCGGCGAGGGGAGUGAAAAAGAACCUGAAACCGUGUACGUACAAGCAGUGGGAGCACCUUCGGGUGUGACUGCGUACCUUUUGUAUAAUGGGUCAGCGACUUAUAUUCUGUAGCAAGGUUAACCGUAUAGGGGAGCCGCAGGGAAACCGAGUCUUAACUGGGCGUUAAGUUGCAGGGUAUAGACCCGAAACCCGGUGAUCUAGCCAUGGGCAGGUUGAAGGUUGGGUAACACUAACUGGAGGACCGAACCGACUAAUGUUGAAAAAUUAGCGGAUGACUUGUGGCUGGGGGUGAAAGGCCAAUCAAACCGGGAGAUAGCUGGUUCUCCCCGAAAGCUAUUUAGGUAGCGCCUCGUGAAUUCAUCUUCGGGGGUAGAGCACUGUUUCGGCUAGGGGGUCAUCCCGACUUACCAACCCGAUGCAAACUACGAAUACCGAAGAAUGUUAUCACGGGAGACACACGGCGGGUGCUAACGUCCGUCGUGAAGAGGGAAACAACCCAGACCGCCAGCUAAGGUCCCAAAGUCAUGGUUAAGUGGGAAACGAUGUGGGAAGGCACAGACAGCCAGGAUGUUGGCUUAGAAGCAGCCAUCAUUUAAAGAAAGCGUAAUAGCUCACUGGUCGAGUCGGCCUGCGCGGAAGAUGUAACGGGGCUAAACCAUGCACCGAAGCUGCGGCAGCGACACUAUGUGUUGUUGGGUAGGGGAGCGUUCUGUAAGCCUGCGAAGGUGGCCUGUGAGGGUUGCUGGAGGUAUCAGAAGUGCGAAUGCUGACAUAAGUAACGAUAAAGCGGGUGAAAAGCCCGCUCGCCGGAAGACCAAGGGUUCCUGUCCAACGUUAAUCGGGGCAGGGUGAGUCGACCCCUAAGGCGAGGCCGAAAGGCGUAGUCGAUGGGAAACAGGUUAAUAUUCCUGUACUUGGUGUUACUGCGAAGGGGGGACGGAGAAGGCUAUGUUAGCCGGGCGACGGUUGUCCCGGUUUAAGCAUGUAGGCUGGUUAUCCAGGCAAAUCCGGAUAAUCAAGGCUGAGGUGUGAUGACGAGGCACUACGGUGCUGAAGUAACAAAUGCCCUGCUUCCAGGAAAAGCCUCUAAGCAUCAGGUAACAUUAAAUCGUACCCCAAACCGACACAGGUGGUCAGGUAGAGAAUACCAAGGCGCUUGAGAGAACUCGGGUGAAGGAACUAGGCAAAAUGGUGCCGUAACUUCGGGAGAAGGCACGCUGGUGUGUAGGUGAAGUCCCUGCGGAUGGAGCUGAGACCAGUCGAAGAUACCAGCUGGCUGCAACUGUUUAUUAAAAACACAGCACUGUGCAAACACGAAAGUGGACGUAUACGGUGUGACGCCUGCCCGGUGCCGGAAGGUUAAUUGAUGGGGUUAUCCGUAAGGAGAAGCUCUUGAUCGAAGCCCCGGUAAACGGCGGCCGUAACUAUAACGGUCCUAAGGUAGCGAAAUUCCUUGUCGGGUAAGUUCCGACCUGCACGAAUGGCGUAAUGAUGGCCAGGCUGUCUCCACCCGAGACUCAGUGAAAUUGAACUCGCUGUGAAGAUGCAGUGUACCCGCGGCAAGACGGAAAGACCCCGUGAACCUUUACUAUAGCUUGACACUGAACAUUGAGCCUUGAUGUGUAGGAUAGGUGGGAGGCUUUGAAGCGUGGACGCCAGUCUGCGUGGAGCCAACCUUGAAAUACCACCCUUUAAUGUUUGAUGUUCUAACGUUGGCCCCUGACCGGGGUUGCGGACAGUGUCUGGUGGGUAGUUUGACUGGGGCGGUCUCCUCCCAAAGCGUAACGGAGGAGCACGAAGGUUAGCUAAUCCUGGUCGGACAUCAGGAGGUUAGUGCAAUGGCAUAAGCUAGCUUGACUGCGAGCGUGACGGCGCGAGCAGGUGCGAAAGCAGGUCAUAGUGAUCCGGUGGUUCUGAAUGGAAGGGCCAUCGCUCAACGGAUAAAAGGUACUCCGGGGAUAACAGGCUGAUACCGCCCAAGAGUUCAUAUCGACGGCGGUGUUUGGCACCUCGAUGUCGGCUCAUCACAUCCUGGGGCUGAAGUAGGUCCCAAGGGUAUGGCUGUUCGCCAUUUAAAGUGGUACGCGAGCUGGGUUUAGAACGUCGUGAGACAGUUCGGUCCCUAUCUGCCGUGGGCGCUGGAGAAUUGAGGGGGGCUGCUCCUAGUACGAGAGGACCGGAGUGGACGCAUCACUGGUGUUCGGGUUGUCAUGCCAAUGGCACUGCCCGGUAGCUAAAUGCGGAAGAGAUAAGUGCUGAAAGCAUCUAAGCACGAAACUUGCCCCGAGAUGAGUUCUCCCUGAGACUUUAAGUCUCCUGAAGGAACGUUAAAGACGAUGACGUUGAUAGGCCGGGUGUGUAAGCGCAGCGAUGCGUUGAGCUAACCGGUACUAAUGAACCGUGAGGCUUAACCUU